rnacentral:rRNA from 1 species
UACGGAGGGAGCUAGCGUUGUUCGGAAUUACUGGGCGUAAAGCGCACGUAGGCGGCUUUGUAAGUUAGAGGUGAAAGCCCGGGGCUCAACCCCGGAACUGCCUUUAAGACUGCAUCGCUUGAAUCCAGGAGAGGUGAGUGGAAUUCCGAGUGUAGAGGUGAAAUUCGUAGAUAUUCGGAAGAACACCAGUGGCGAAGGCGGCUCACUGGCCUGGUAUUGACGCUGAGGUGCGAAGGCGUGGGGAGCAAACAGG